GACGAACGCUGGCGGCGUGCUUAACACAUGCAAGUCGAGCGGUAAGGCCCUUUCGGGGGUACACGAGCGGCGAACGGGUGAGUAACACGUGGGUGACCUGCCCUUAGCUCUGGGAUAAGCCUGGGAAACUGGGUCUAAUACCGGAUAUGACUCCAUGACGCAUGUUGUGGGGUGGAAAGCCUUGUGCGGCUAGGGAUGGGCCCGCGGCCUAUCAGCUUGUUGGUGGGGUGAUGGCCACCAAAGCGACGACGGGUAGCCGGCCUGAGAGGGCGACCGGCCACACUGGGACUGAGACACGGCCCAGACUCCUACGGGAGGCAGCAGUGGGGAAUCUUGCGCAAUGGGCGAAAGCCUGACGCAGCGACGCCGCGUGAGGGAUGACGGCCU
rnacentral:rRNA from 1 species